UACAGAGGUCCCAAGCGUUGUUCGGAUUCACUGGGCGUAAAGGGUGCGUAGGUGGCUACUUUAAGUUUGAUGUGAAAGCUCCCGGGCUCAACCCGGAAAUGGCAUUGAAGACUAUUGAGCUAGAGGUUUGGAGGGGGGACUGGAAUGCUUGGUGUAGCAGUGAAAUGCGUAGAUAUCAAGCGGAACACCGGUGGCGAAGGCGAGUCCCUGGACAACACCUGACACUGAGGCACGAAAGCUAGGGGAGCAAACAGG
rnacentral:rRNA from 1 species